AUGUUGUUGCUGUUAUAUAUAUGUUUUCCCCCCUUUUUUCUGUUAACCAAGUCUAAGUUUAUAGAGAGAAGAAAAAUGAAAUUUUGGGGGGAAAAGGUUGGUGAAAACAUUAACGAAUGCAGUGUCUUAUUUCAUCUCCUUUUGAUGCAGUUUUUACUUUUCUAUUUUUGUGAAAGUUUAGACUGUUUUUGGACAGGUUUUUGGCAAGUUGUGGUGCAGGUUUUACAUCAAAGCAGUAGCAGGUUUUUGGCAAGUUUUGGGCAGCAUUGUAGCAUGCUUUUGGAACAGUAG